CAGCCGCCGCGGUAAUACGGAGGGGGCUAGCGUUGUUCGGAAUUACUGGGCGUAAAGCGCACGUAGGCUGCUUUGUAAGUCAGAGGUGAAAGCCCGGGGCUCAACCCCGGAUGUGCCUUUGAGACUGCAGAGCUAAAAUCGCGGAGAGGUGAGUGGAAUUCCGAGUGUAGAGGUGAAAUUCGUAGAUAUUCGGAAGAACACCAGUGGCGAAGGCGGCUCACUGGACGCGUAUUGACGCUGAGGUGCGAAAGCGUGGGGAGCAAACAGGAUUAGAUACCCGGGUAGUCCCUGUCUCUUAUAC
rnacentral:rRNA from 1 species